rnacentral:rRNA from 1 species
AUUGAACGCUGGCGGCAUGCCUUACACAUGCAAGUCGAACGGUAACAGGCCGCAAGGUGCUGACGAGUGGCGAACGGGUGAGUAAUACAUCGGAACGUGCCCGAUCGUGGGGGAUAACGCAGCGAAAGCUGUGCUAAUACCGCAUACGAUCUACGGAUGAAAGCGGGGGACCGCAAGACCUCGCGCGGACGGAGCGGACGAUGGCAGAUUAGGUAGUUGGUGGGGUAAAGGCCUACCAAGCCGACGAUCUGUAGCUGGUCUGAGAGGACGACCAGCCACACUGGGACUGAGACACGGCCCAGACUCCUACGGGAGGCAGCAGUGGGGAAUUUUGGACAAUGGGCGCAAGCCUGAUCCAGCCAUGCCGCGUGCAGGAUGAAGGCCUUCGGGUUGUGAACUGCUUUUGUACGGAACGAAAAGGUUUCUUUUAAUACAGGGAACUGAUGACGGUACCGUAAGAAUAAGCACCGGCUAACUACGUGCCAGCCGCCGCCGUAACAC